rnacentral:rRNA from 1 species
GGCUGCAACUCGCCUGCAUGAAGUCGGAAUUGCUAGUAAUCGCGGAUCAGCAUGCCGCGGUGAAUACGUUCCCGGGUCUUGUACACACCGCCCGUCACACCAUGGGAGCCAGGAAUGCCCGAAGCCAGUGGCCUAACCGCAAGGGAGGAGCUGUCGAAGGCAGGCCCGGUAACUGGGGUGAAGUCGUAACAAGGUACC